AACCAGCACCUCAAGUGGUCAGGAGGAUUAUUGGGCCUAAAGCAUCCGUAGCCGGCUCUGUAAGUUUUCGGUUAAAUCCAUGUGCUUAACGCAUGGGCUGCCGAAAAUACUGCAUAGCUAGGGAGUGGGAGAGGUAGACGGUACUCGGUAGGAAGGGGUAAAAUCCUUUGAUCUAUCGAUGACCACCUGUGGCGAAGGCGGUCUACCAGAACACGUUCGACGGUGAGGGAUGAAAGCUGGGGGAGCAAACCGG
rnacentral:rRNA from 1 species